AGUGAACGCUGGCGGUAGACCUAACACAUGCAAGUCGAACGGCAGCACAGUAAGAGCUUGCUCUUACGGGUGGCGAGUGGCGGACGGGUGAGGAAUACAUCGGAAUCUACUUUUUCGUGGGGGAUAACGUAGGGAAACUUACGCUAAUACCGCAUACGACCUACGGGUGAAAGCAGGGGAUCUUCGGACCUUGCGCGAUUGAAUGAGCCGAUGUCGGAUUAGCUAGUUGGCGGGGUAAAGGCCCACCAAGGCGACGAUCCGUAGCUGGUCUGAGAGGAUGAUCAGCCACACUGGAACUGAGACACGGUCCAGACUCCUACGGGAGGCAGCAGUGGGGAAUAUUGGACAAUGGGCGCAAGCCUGAUCCAGCCAUACCGCGUGGGUGAAGAAGGCCUUCGGGUGGUAAAGCCCUUUUGUUGGGGAAGAAAAGCAGCAGGUUAAUACCCCGCUGUUCUGACGGUACCCAAAGAAUAAGCACCGGCUAACUUCGU
rnacentral:rRNA from 1 species